rnacentral:rRNA from 1 species
UACGUAGGGUGCGAGCGUUGUCCGGAAUUAUUGGGCGUAAAGAGCUUGUAGGCGGUCUGUCGCGUCUGCUGUGAAAACCCGCGGCUCAACUGUGGGCGGGCAGCUGAUACGGGCAGGCUGGAGUUCGGUAGGGGAGACUGGAAUUCCUGGUGUAGCGGUGAAAUGCGCAGAUAUCAGGAGGAACACCGGUGGCGAAGGCGGGUCUCUGGGCCGAUACUGACGCUGAGGAGCGAAAGCGUGGGGAGCGAACAGG